rnacentral:rRNA from 1 species
AGAACGAACGCUGGCGGCAUGCCUAAUACAUGCAAGUCGAACGAACACUUCGGUGUUAGUGGCGCACGGGUGCGUAACGCGUGGGAAUCUGCCCUUGGGUUCGGAAUAACAGUUGGAAACGACUGCUAAUACCGGAUGAUAUCGAAAGAUCAAAGAUUUAUCGCCCAGGGAUGAGCCCGCGUAGGAUUAGCUAGUUGGUGAGGUAAAGGCUCACCAAGGCGACGAUCCUUAGCUGGUCUGAGAGGAUGAUCAGCCACACUGGGACUGAGACACGGCCCAGACUCCGUACGGGAGCAGCAGUAGGGAAUAGUU